CAAUAGCGUAUAUUUAAGUUGUUGCAGUUAAAAAGCUCGUAGUUGGAUUUCGGAUGAGACUUGCCGGUCCGUCGUUUCGAUGUGCACUGGCCAGUCCUAUCUUGUUGUCGGGGACUAGCUCCUGGGCUUCACUGUCCGGGACUAGGAGCUGACGAGGUUACUUUGAGUAAAUUAGAGUGUUCAAAGCAAGCCUACGCUCUGAAUACAUUAGCAUGGAAUAACACGAUAGGACUCUGGCUUAUCUUGUUGGUCUGUGAGACCAGAGUAAUGAUUAAGAGGGACAGUCGGGGGCAUUCGUAUUUCAUUGUCAGAGGUGAAAUUCUUGGAUUUAUGAAAGACGAACUUCUGCGAAAGCAUUUGUCAAGGAUGUUUNCAUUA
rnacentral:rRNA from 1 species